AGUUUGAUUCAUGGCUCAGGACGAACGCUGGCGGCGUGCCUAAUACAUGCAAGUCGAGCGGACAGAUGGGAGCUUGCUCCCUGAUGUUAGCGGCGGACGGGUGAGUAACACGUGGGUAACCUGCCUGUAAGACUGGGAUAACUCCGGGAAACCGGGGCUAAUACCGGAUGGUUGUUUGAACCGCAUGGUUCAAACAUAAAAGGUGGCUUCGGCUACCACUUACAGAUGGACCCGCGGCGCAUUAGCUAGUUGGUGAGGUAAUGGCUCACCAAGGCAACGAUGCGUAGCCGACCUGAGAGGGUGAUCGGCCACACUGGGACUGAGACACGGCCCAGACUCCUACGGGAGGCAGCAGUAGGGAAUCUUCCGCAAUGGACGAAAGUCUGACGGAGCCACGCCGCGUGAGUGAUGAAGGUUUUCGGAUCGUAAAGCUCUGUUGUUAGGGAAGAACAAGUACCGUUCGAAUAGGGCGGUACCUUGACGGUACCUAACCAGAAAGCCACGGCUAACUACGUGCCAGCAGCCGCGGUAAUACGUAGGUGGCAAGCGUUGUCCGGAAUUAUUGGGCGUAAAGGGCUCGCAGGCGGUUUCUUAAGUCUGAUGUGAAAGCCCCCGGCUCAACCGGGGAGGGUCAUUGGAAACUGGGGAACUUGAGUGCAGAAGAGGAGAGUGGAAUUCCACGUGUAGCGGUGAAAUGCGUAGAGAUGUGGAGGAACACCAGUGGCGAAGGCGACUCUCUGGUCUGUAACUGACGCUGAGGAGCGAAAG
rnacentral:rRNA from 1 species